CCCCUUUUAAAAUCACUCAUUGGACCUUUUGCCAGUGACCCAUUGAGCCGUCAAAAAGGGCAGACUAAGAACACCACUUUGGGGUGAAGUGGCAAUAUCUCAUGUUGUUCAGCUUCAGUCGGUGAUGUGACAAAA
ensembl:snoRNA